GGGGGUGGCUGUGUCCCGGUGGGUGCCCCGGUCUUCAAAACCGGCGGCGGGCUGUCACGCACAGGCCGCGGUGGGUUCGACUCCCAUCCACUCCCG
rnacentral:tRNA from 1 species